AGAAGAUUUUUUUCCUUGUGGUCUUCGGAAGGGGGACACAACCAUGUUUACACUUGGAUUUCAGACUUCUCCAACACAGAAUGGCCAGCGUCCGAUCCUUAAAGAUGUUUAAGAAAAAACAAAGGAGAACGUCAACUUUGACAGUGUUUCAAGAUAAAUGGGUUCUGGGUUCUAUUAUCUGGGACCCUAAGAAAAUGCAUUUAUCUUCGAAGAUGUCUUCACUGAUGGAAACUAAAGUCAAGUUCUCUUAACUUCAAAAACAAAAAUAAACCAACCACCAAACAAAAAGCAACAACCAGAAAUACAACAAAAACUUGUUCCAUGAUGAAUGAAGCCAAAAUAUCUUCAUGGUUGUUAGAUAGAAUACUAUAAACAAAUUUGACUCCCCCCCCCCC